UCCUGCUCGCGAACUCAAACAGCCGCAGAACUUUAUACUGUGCUAAGGUAGCAUAAUCACUUGUCUUUUAAUUAAAGAAUAGAAUGAACGGAAAGCCGAAUUUUAGCCUGUUUCAUGUCUACAUAAUAAAACUACCAAAAAGUAAAAACUCUUUUUCAAAAAAAAAAGACGAUAAGACCCUAAAGAACUUAACUCAAGUUAAGCUGGGGCGGCUAUUUAAAAAAAUCUUAAACUACACUCAUUACCCCUACCUUUAUUUUCAACGUUACCUUAGGGCUAACAGCAUAAUUUAAUUUUACAGCUCUUAUUAAAAAUUAAGCUUAUGACCUCGAUGUUGAAUUAAAUAUCUCUUAAACGAAAAAAAUUAACAAGAAAGUCUGUUCGACUUUUAAACAAUUACACGAUUUGAGUUCAGACCGGUGAAAACCAGGUCGGUUUCUAUCUUUUUUAAUUAUACUCUAGUACGAAAGGACCGCAUAUUUUAUUUACAAU
rnacentral:rRNA from 1 species